AAUUCAAAAUAAAGUUUGUAAUGUGAUAAUUGAUAGUGGCGGCAUUCUAAAUUUGUAGCCAAGAAAUUGAUUUCUGCAUUAAACCUUAAAAUGGAACCUCAGCCUAACCCUUAUAAAAUUGGAUGGAUCAAGAAGGGAGGAGACACACAGGUGAAUGAAAUUUGCUCGGUUCCAUUAUCAAUUGGAGGAAGCUACAAAGACCAAAUUGUGUGACGUACUUGAUAUGGAUGUCUGUCACAUUUUACUUGGAAUGCCUUGACAAUAUGACACUCAAUCAGUGCACGGAGGAAGAGAAAACACAUAUGAGUUCUAGUGGAUGAACAAGAAAUUAAUUGGUUCCAGUCAAUAAGAAGAAUGAGGACGAAAUUAAUGCAAAGCACUCCAGCAACCAUCUCUUUAUCAUUAUAAGUGGAAGAAAAUUUGAUAAACAGAUAGAAAUUGAUAUCUUGGGUCUUGUAAUUGCAGGCCAUGUUCAAGAUAAAUCCUCUGGAAAUAUUCAUAUGAAAAUCCAAGAUCUGUUGGAGCAAUAUCCUAGUAUCAAAGACGAACCUUCAAAGCUCCCUCCACUACGAGACAUACAACACAAUAUUGAUCUCUUGCCAAGAGCCUCCCUGCCUCAUCUUCCUCAUUACAGAAUGAGUCUGAAAGACUGCCAUUCUACACCAACAGAUUGAAAAGCUUAUGAAGAAAGGCCACAUACAACCAAGUAUGAGUCCUUGUGUAGUCCCGACAUUGUUAACUCCAAAGAAGGAUGGAUGCUAGAGAAUGUAUGUUGAUAGCAGGGCCAUUAACCGAAUAACAGUCAAAUAUUGCUUCUUCCCUAUCCCAUGAAUCAAUGACCUAUUGGAUCAAUUGGGAGGAGCCCUUAUUUUUUUGAAGGUGGAUUUGAAAAGUGGAUACCACCAAAUCCGCAUUCGGCCUGGAGAUGAAUGGAAGAUUGACUUCAAGAAUGGUCAGUGAUGCCUUUUGGCCCUUCCAAUGGUCUAAGUGCGUGUAUGCGCUUAAUGCACCAACUAUCAACAAAAAUGAGGAAGAUCACUGUCAACACUUAAAGCUAGUAUUCAAGCUUUGGAGCAGAACAAGUUAUACAUCAAUAUGAAGAAAUGCACAUUUUGUACUAAGGAGAUAUCAUUUCUAGGCUUCAUCAUCAGCAAAAAUCAAGUACGAAUGGAUGAAGCAAAAGUGGAAGCUAUUGAUAAUUGGCCAAUUCCAUAAACAAUAAAAGAAGUGCAAGCUUUCAUAGGAUGCAUGUGGAAUGGGGUUUAGAGCUGUUUUAUCUCAAGGAGGCAACCUUGUGGAGUUUUUAGUGAAAAUCUUAGCACUUCGAGACAAGCAUGGAGUACCUAUGAGCAAGAAUUAUAUGCUCUUGUAAGGGUUUUAAAACAGUGGGAACAAUACCUAUUGUCUAAAGAAUUUGUCUUGCUCACGGAUCAUUUUUUUCUAAAGUACUUACAAGUUCAAAGAAUUAUUAGUCGAAUGCAUGUCCAUUGGAUAUCCUAUAUUCAACACUUUGAAUUCUCCAUUGCACCAAACAGGGAAAUAGAACAAGGUAGCCAAUGCUCUGAGUAGAAAAAACACCUUAUUAACUCUCCUCUCGGUAGAGAUCAUUGCAAUUUGAUCAUCUCCCAAAUUGUACGAAGAAGAUGAAGAUUUUGGAAAGAUAUGACGUAACUGCAUUGACCAUCUUUAGAUGAAAGAUUUUCAUAUUAUUGAAGGAUUCCUCUUCAAAGGUAAUCUGUUAUGUAUUUCUCAUAAAUCACUAAGAGAAGCUCUAAUCAAAGAAGCUCAUGUUGGAGGUUGAGCUGGCCACUUUGGACAGGAUAAAACCUUUCAGUUGAUUUUGUUAUUGGCUUGCCAAAGACACAAAGGGGUUUUGAUGCUGUCAUGGUAGUAGUGGACCAAUUCAGCAAGGUGGCCCAUUUCCUAGCUUGCAAGAAACUAAUAUGUUGUUUAUAUUACUAUUCUUUUUUUGGAGAAGUUGUGAGACUCCAUGGAAUACCUAAAACUAUUGUAUUAGAUGGGGAUGUUAAAUUCCUUAGCCACUUUUGAAGAACACUUUGGAAGAAAUUUGAUACUACGCUAAAAUUCAGCACUACCUCUCACCCUCAAAAGAACGACUAGACUGAAGUGACCAAUAGGUCCUUGGAAAACUUAAUUAGAUGCUGGAGUGGAACACACCCAAAACAGUGGGACAUGGGCAGAAUUCUCCUUCAAUAACAUGAAGAACAAAACCACUGGCAAAUGUCCGUUUAAUGUUGUCUAUACCAAAGCCCUUAGACUCACUUUUGACAUAGCCAACUUGCCUACAGGUGUGGAUAUACAGAAUGUAGCAGAAGAAAUGGCAAACCGUGUGCAGAAGCUUCAUAAAGAAGUUUAUGAUCACUUAAUAAAAAAUACAUCUUAUAAAGAAGAUAACGAUGAGAAGAAAAGUUCACUUCCAAGGGAAGACCUGGUUAUGACACAUUUGAGGAGAAGAAGAUUCUCAACUGGGACCUAUGGAAAGCUAAAAGAUAAACAAGUUAGUCCUUGCAAAGCCUUAGCAAAAUAUGAUCCUAACGCAUACAAGAUAGAACUACUGGAAGACUUGAAUACCAAUUCAGUUUCUAAUGUGGUGGACUUAAAGAAAUACCACGCACCAGACGAGUACCAGUGCUGAUCUGGCUCGAGUUCGAGUCUAGUGUUAGAGGGUGGAUUAUGGUGUAAACAAAGCUAUAAAAUAAAAGACUCUUUGAUUGGUUUCAUUUAGUUGCUCAAUAAGUAACUUUUGUAAUAUCACCCCUCUAUAAAUAAAGCCUUUCCCCCUCUUAGAGAGAGAUCAGUUUCAUAUAA